rnacentral:rRNA from 1 species
AUUGAACGCUGGCGGCAGGCCUAACACAUGCAAGUCGAGCGGUAACAGAUCUAGCUUGCUAGAUGCUGACGAGCGGCGGACGGGUGAGUAACGCGUAGGAAUUUGCCUGAUAGAGGGGGAUAGCCCGGGGAAACUCGGAUUAAUACCGCAUACGCUCUACGGAGGAAAGCAGGGGAUCUUCGGACCUUGCGCUAUCAGAUAAGCCUGCGUGGGAUUAGCUAGUUGGUGAGGUAAAGGCUCACCAAGGCGACGAUCUCUAGCUGGUCUGAGAGGAUGAUCAGCCACACUGGAACUGAGACACGGUCCAG